AUACCAGCCCCGCGAGCGGUCGGGGCUUUUAUUGGGCCUAAAGCGCCCGUAGCCGGCCCGGCAAGUCCCUCCCUAAAGCCCCGGGCUCAACCCGGGGAGUGGGGGGGAUACUGCCGGGCUAGGGGGUGGGAGAGGCCGAGGGUACUCCCGGGGUAGGGGCGAAAUCCGGUAAUCCCGGGAGGACCACCAGUGGCGAAGGCGCUCGGCUGGAACACGCCCGACGGUGAGGGGCGAAAGCCGGGGGAGCAAACCGGAUUAGAUACCCUAGUAGUCC
rnacentral:rRNA from 1 species